rnacentral:rRNA from 1 species
GUACGGCCGCAAGGUUAAAACUCAAAUGAAUUGACGGGGGCCCGCACAAGCGGUGGAGCAUGUGGUUUAAUUCGAUGCAACGCGAAGAACCUUACCUGGUCUUGACAUCCACGGAAGUUUUCAGAGAUGAGAAUGUGCCUUCGGGAACCGUGAGACAGGUGCUGCAUGGCUGUCGUCAGCUCGUGUUGUGAAAUGUUGGGUUAAGUCCCGCAACGAGCGCAACCCUUAUCCUUUGUUGCCAGCGGUCCGGCCGGGAACUCAAAGGAGACUGCCAGUGAUAAACUGGAGGAAGGUGGGGAUGACGUCAAGUCAUCAUGGCCCUU